rnacentral:rRNA from 1 species
UACGGGGGGGGCAAGCGUUGUUCGGAAUUACUGGGCGUAAAGGGUGCGUAGGCGGCUUUCUAAGUCGGAUGUGAAAACUCUGGGCUCAACCCAGAGCCUGCAUCCGAAACUGGAGAGCUAGGGUUCUGGAGGGGAAAGCGGAAUUCCUGGUGUAGCGGUGAAAUGCGUAGAUAUCAGGAGGAACACCGGUGGCGAAGGCGGCUUUCUGGACAGAUACCGACGCUGAGGCACGAAAGCUAGGGGAGCAAACAGGAUUAGAUACCCUGGUAGUCCUAGCCCUAAACUAUGGAUACUUGCUGUGGGGGGGAUUGAAGCCCCUUGUGGCGAAGCUAACGCAUUAAGUAUCCCGCCUGGGGAGUACGGUCGCAAGGCUGAA